ensembl:snoRNA SNORD34 Small nucleolar RNA SNORD34
UGGUGUCUAUGAUGUCAUUUUUACCUACAUUGUUUGACUACUUCUGAGAAAAACCUCAAGCCCUGAGACACCU